GACGAACGCUGGCGGCGUGCUUAACACAUGCAAGUCGAACGGAAAGGCCCUGCUUGCAGGGUACUCGAGUGGCGAACGGGUGAGUAACACGUGGGUUAUCUGCCCUGCACUUCGGGAUAAGCCUGGGAAACUGGGUCUAAUACCGGAUAGGAGCCAUUUUUAGUGUGAUUGUUGGAAAGUUUUUUCGGUGUAGGAUGAGCUCGCGGCCUAUCAGCUUGUUGGUGGGGUAAUGGCCUACCAAGGCGGCGACGGGUAGCCGGCCUGAGAGGGUGGACGGCCACAUUGGGACUGAGAUACGGCCCAGACUCCUACGGGAGGCAGCAGUGGGGAAUAUUGCACAAUGGGCGCAAGACUGAUGCAGCGACGCCGCGUGGGGGAUGACGGCCUUCGGGUUGUAAACUCCUUUCGCUAGGGACGAAGCUUUUUGUGACGGUACCUAGAUAAGAAGCACCGGCUAACUACGUG
rnacentral:rRNA from 1 species